rnacentral:lncRNA from 1 species
AAUUUCUUCACUCUCUCAUCUUUCCUUUCAGUCCUGCGCAUUCUUCAUCUUUUUCCCCAUGGUCAUAAAAUCCCAUAUAAAUAUUUGUAUAUGUAUGGUCCUUCUAUCUUCGAAGGAAAUUGAACAAUAUCAUGUAUUUUCAGUACCUGAGUUCUGAGCAAAUUGUGAAAACAAAAGAAGCAGCCGAAGGAGGGGGUGUAAUGUAAUUUUAAACAAGGUUACGUUGGAGGAUAUGAAAGCCACAGGUUCUGCUUCCUAAGUGUCAGGGUCAUGCUAAUUUAACCACCCCCA